UAGGUUAGAAACUCGUACAUGUAAAGUUUUUUGAAAUUUAUUUCUUCGCACGGAUCCGGUGGUGGGGUUUCGGGGUUUCCGCAACGCAAAAAGCGGUUUUUGCGGCCCGAAAAACCCAACAUCCAGGAUCACAUCCAAGAGGAAGACAAAGAAGACUAAUAAAAACAUGGCAGUAUCACAAAUCCCAUCUGUGACGAAGAAAAUCCCUUGGGACAUAGUUGGCAAUCAAUUCUCGGAUCAAAUUCUAUAGGAAAAUGAAGGGCCUCUUGUCCCAGCCAUGACAAAUUUAGUGACAAGGAAUCAGUGAAGACAAUUGCAGCACAACUGACCAAUAGAAAUUCAUGUAAUGCUAAAAACAUUGGCCCGUGCUGCUCAGCUCGCCACAAUGAUAGAGCUGGGAGUGGUUGUUUUGGUGAUGAAGGUAGCUCUAUAUCUACUAGGAAAGCAUAUUCAGCAUUUCCACUUGUAUUUCCUUUAGUUGGACUACCCAAGUCCUCGCAUCUCGGUUGGGACCAUUGGUUUUCCUUAAGGGAUCUUGAGCUCACAACAAGUCGUUUCUCAAAUGACAAUGUCCUCAGGGAAGGUGGAUAUGGAGUUGUCUAUUGUGGGCGUUUGAUAAAUGGUAUUGAGGUUGCAGUAAAGAAGCUAAGUUCAUUGCUCCCUUUCAUUCAGGUUCUUGUUACCUCAAAAUAAUGUACUAAUGCUCACUCAUUGAAUUAUGUAGAGGACAAGCAGAGAAGGAAUUCAGAGUAGAGGUGGAAGCCAUUGGUCAUGUUCGGCAUAAGAAUCUAGUUAGGCUUUUGGGGUAUUGCAUAGAAGGAAUUCACAGGUGAAAAGUUUGAGUUGUUCAUUUAGUUACUUCCAUUGAGAUGAUUACAUAGAUCGACUGAUGUUAACUGGAUGCUUGUGUCUGAGUAUGUCAACAAUGGAAACUUAGAGUAGCGGCUACAUGGAGCUAUGCAUCAAAGAGGCAUCCUUAGUUGGGAGAAGCGCAUGAAGGUCAUCCUUGGCACAACAAAGGCAUAAGCUCAAUCCUCAACAAUUCUUCUUCUUUUCAGUCUUCUAUACUACAGUUUGAGUUGCCUAGCUUACUCCUUUCAGGCUUGCUUACUUGCAUGAAGCAAUCAAAUCAAAAGUAGUGUCAAUAAGAGUUCUAACAAUUUUAAUUUUUCUAUUAAAAUUUUGAUCAACAAUUAUUAGAGGUAAAAGAGAAAUACAUAAUUUUGAAGUGUUGAUAAAGAGACAAAGAUCAACCACUAUAAUCCAAAAGCAUGUGAGAAAAUGGUCUACUAGGAAGAUCUUUAAUGAGCAUAUGAGGGAUGUUAUACUAUUGCAGUCUGGUAACAUACUUCUAUCACCACUCUUUGGUAUUUUUAUUAUUUCUUUUGGUUUAUUAUAACUCGUAUGCAUAUAAUAUUGCUUUUAUCUUAAAGGAAAAGUGUAUUAACUAGUUUUUAUACCUCUCAUAUCUUUUAGUUCCAUCAAUUAUUACAACACUUGGCAAAAACUAUUAGAGUGGUAAGACUCAUUGAUGGUUCUCCCAUUAUUCAUUUGUUAUUUUUUUCUUAUGGAUCUUUAUAAAUGUGCUUUGUGAUCCUUCCUUAUUGUAGUUCAAUAACUUAUAUUGUGGUAUUAUUGAAAUAACUACUAGUUAUUGUUUUACUGUAGCAUCGUUGAAUGUACUUGUUGUGUGUUGUAACUGAAUGUCGACAUUUAGAAAAUUAAAAAUGACAAUUUGACAGUGAAAACUUCUUGUUUAAUGGAGGAUUUUGUUAGUCUUCAACAAAUAUCAUCUUUAUAUGUGCUACUUACUAUUUCAUGACAAUGAUACAUCAGUUUAUUGGAUUGUAGAUGCGCCACUCUUCUUUAAUUCUAGAAAAUUUUAUGUAACACAAACUUUGAUGACUCUCAAUUUGUUCAUUUGAUUAUAAAUGGUCUCAAUUAAUCUUCUAUGAUUUACUUCAAGUUCACCAUCAUUUACAUUGGAAUUUGUAAGAUGUCCAAUUUUAAUCAUCAUUUUCUGUUAGGGUACAAUUGUUUCAUUUUUUAGGACUUAGUGGAUAUGUAUGCUCAACUUCUAGCUCAUCAUACUUAAGUUUAUUUUUAUUUUAACUGAAUCAUGUUUCUGAUUUUGUAUUUAUGUGCUUUACUCCCUAAUUUUUAUCUUUCCUACCUAAUUAAACAUCUUGUGACAUGUUAAUUAUCUAUUUUGCCAUCUCUUAUUUAGACUUUGUUAAUGUGCAAUCUGUUUAGAUAAAUUGUUGUUGCUACUUGUGCUUACACUUCUAUUGUAAUAUCCAAAUUAAAAGUUAGAACUCAUUGUUUUUCUAAAUAAAAAGAUUUAAAUCCAUUUCAUCAAUGAAAUUCAAAAGAACUUGUAUUUUCUUCCCACCUUAAAGUGAUGAGAGACUUGUACUUUCUUCCCACCUUAAAGUGAUGAGUUUGCCUAGUUGUUUUACAAAAUUAACUUUUUUCUAUAUGCAAUAUAGAAAAAAUGCCUAAAUUCUACAAAGAAUAGUAGUCUUUGUGAGCUGCAUCGAAUUGCUAUCAUGAGUUCUUUUUAAUUUUAUUUUUCUAUUAUCUUCUAUGAUCUUGUGUAGUUGUGUACAAGAAACAUAGGAAAUAUACCUCUUGUUUUGAUUGCAGCUUUAUGUCGGGACAAAUCAAAUCCAUUUGGUGAUUUUAUCAAAUGUAGCCAAGAUGGAAAUGCAUACAUAUCAUUUGGCCAGUGGGUUGGUGCAUUAGUCUUGUAUAUCUAUGUUUUUCAUAGCUUGCACUGCCACCAUGUCAAAACUUUGAUGGAGCAUAAGAGGCAAAGCUUCCAACUAGACAUCCUUUGGAGAACUCUGAAACUGAGAAAGUUCCAUUACUAACUUCAAGAGAGGUUGAAUCUACUAGACUUAAGAAACAUCAAAUAUUGUAUAUAUAUGUUUGUAAGAAGUAUUGUAUAUAUGUUUUGCUAUAAGUUUGUAUAUAUGUUUGUAAGAAGUGAUCAUUUUAAAUGGGAUGAUAUAUGUUUAUAGACAUGUUUGUAGAUAAUAAUUUAUUGUUCUCUAGUA